CCGCAUUUAAGGAUCGCAGGGAGGAAACUGGGGAUGGUGACUCAAGAGAUGCCCCAAGAACCUGUCUGCACCCAUGGGGCUAUACCAGUUCCCUUAGCAUCUUUGGCCUGAGGUCAAUGGGAUUUGUGUCUGGCUUUUGCUCACAGAAGGACAGAAGAAGACCUAUGUGCUACAAAAACGGUGAAGUGCAGUACAUUGAGCAAAUAAGGAAGAUACCAGCGUGCCACCUGGGCCUCUGCUGUUGGUUUUGGAGGUAGGAUGCUGCCUUGACAAGCAUGACGGAGACAUUGCAGGGAGCCUUUAGAGCAUGAACUUGGCACGCAACCUCGGCUAAGUGGCUCAUC